CCUGGCGGCCUUAGCGCGCUGGUCCCACCUGACCCCAUGCCGAACUCAGAAGUGAAACGUCGUAGCGCCGAUGGUAGUGUGGGGUCUCCCCAUGCGAGAGUAGGGAACUGCCAGGC
rnacentral:rRNA from 1 species